ACUCCUACGGGAGGCAGCAGUAGGGAAUCUUCCGCAAUGGACGAAAGUCUGACGGAGCAACGCCGCGUGAGUGAAGAAGGUUUUCGGAUCGUAAAACUCUGUUGUUAGAGAAGAACAAGGAUGAGAGUAACUGCUCGUCCCUGACGG
rnacentral:rRNA from 1 species